CUGGCGGCUCACGCAAGCGCCGGCUGCGAGAGACGGAACCGGGCGGCAGCUGCUACCGGCCGCCCCGCCCCGCGUCCUUCCCGCGUUGCCUGGAGAUGGCGGCUGCGGCCGCCAUGGAGCUGCCCGGCUUCCGGCCAACCGCCCCGAGGGCGGUACGGCUUGAGAGGAGCCCGCGCUGAAGGACGAGUUCCUCUCACCGAGGUGACCUCUGCCCGUCGCGUAUACGCGACGCUGUUAUGGAAUUUGGUGCUAACGUUCCAGAAAGCAAUUUCCGAACGUGAAGACAGCAGCCUAAUAGAGCUGUGGUCUUCACAUUCAGAAGAAAUACUCAUCCUCCAAGCGAAGGUGCUUGGUGCUUCAGAAGUCAAGGCAGAAGAAUCAUUAUACAACAUGCCAGGGAAAUUCACUUUCAUGUUACUCCUUUGGAAGCUUCAUCCCCUGCUGCUUGUUCAUUGCAGCUUGCUCGCUUGUUUUCAGCAGCACACCAGCUUAUAAAGCCAAAGAGGAGGCAGUCACCACUUCCUACCUCUGCAGCGGAAAUGCCAAAUCACAGCCUGAAGCAGUGAUUGAGCACCUGGUGAGAAGGCAGGGCCAACCUGGGGGAGCUCAGGUACAUGCAGUGGACCUGAAUGACUAGAAGGGGUGGAGCCAGGAUUCACCCCUUCCCAGUCCUUAUUUAAGGAUUGGCAUUGAAAGCAAGGGUAUCUUGCUGGAAAUUCCCACCUGCUUGAGGCUUUCCAAAGUUGUCUAUGUCUGCAAUAUCCGAGGGGGGAGGUGUCUCCGACUGCUGCUGCCCAUCGAUUAUUGGAGAGUCCGAGAUCUGCUGCAGCUCGCUGUCACUAAUCAUCCCAGC